rnacentral:rRNA from 1 species
AGUGAACGCUGGCGGUAGGCCUAACACAUGCAAGUCGAACGGCAGCACAGUAAGAGCUUGCUCUUACGGGUGGCGAGUGGCGGACGGGUGAGGAAUACAUCGGAAUCUACUUUUUCGUGGGGGAUAACGUAGGGAAACUUACGCUAAUACCGCAUACGACCUACGGGUGAAAGCAGGGGAUCUUCGGACCUUGCGCGAUUGAAUGAGCCGAUGUCGGAUUAGCUAGUUGGCGUGGUAAAGGCCCACCAAGGCGACGAUCCGUAGCUGGUCUGAGAGGAUGAUCAGCCACACUGGAACUGAGACACGGUCCAGACUCCUACGGGAGGCAGCAGUGGGGAAUAUUGGACAAUGGGCGAAAGCCUGAUCCAGCAAUACCGCGUGGGUGAAGAAGGCCUUCGGGUUGUAAAGCCCUUUUGUUGGGAAAGAAAAGCAGCAGGUUAAUACCCCGCUGUUCUGACGGUACCAAAAGAAUAAGCACCGGCUAACUUCGUG